rnacentral:rRNA from 1 species
GACGAACGCUGGCGGCGUGCUUAACACAUGCAAGUCGAACGAUGACGACCGAGCUUGCUCGGUCUGAUUAGUGGCGAACGGGUGAGUAACACGUGAGCAACCUGCCCUUCACUCUGGGAUAACCUCGGGAAAUCGGGGCUAAUACCGGAUAUGAGCUCCUGUCGCAUGGCGGGUGUUGGAAAGUUUUUCGGUGAAGGAUGGGCUCGCGGCCUAUCAGUUUGUUGGUGAGGUAGUGGCUCACCAAGGCGAUGACGGGUAGCCGGCCUGAGAGGGCGACCGGCCACACUGGGACUGACACACGGCCCAGACUCCUACGGGAGGCAGCAGUGGGGAAUAUUGCACAAUGGGCGAAAGCCUGAUGCAGCGACGCCGCGUGAGGGAUGACGGCCUUCGGGCUGUAAACCUCUUUCAGCAGGGAAGAAGCGAAAGUGACGGUACCUGCAGAAGAAGCGCCGGCUAACUACGUG